UUCCCAAGGAAAGCCCAGGGCCGAAAGGAAAGACUGGAACUUUUUCUCCUCUCCCAAGAUCUACUGCUACAAAAGUUGUCUUGCCUCAAAGAUGUAGGGUGCUUUCCGCAUUGCGGGGAGCAGGCUGCACUCGGCCCAGGCUACCCCCCACCCCCAGCAGCUGCGAUUCAUACAGUCUGAACUUGGCUGCCAUCAACCCGGGCUGCGGCAGAGGCGGCUGUGCUCUCGGGAGCGCUCACAGCCCAGACAGGAGGCAGCACAGCCCACUGGCCGCCCGCGCACCGGGCCAGUUAAGAGAGGCGCUGGCCGCUUUUCUCCCACGCCGGAGCGAGCGGGAGCUCCGGCUGAAAGCAGCCUAGGCUCCAAGGUGCUGGGGGAACAUUUCCAAAAUGAGCCCAGCUCGCUCCCGGCCCUU